GCCGAACCGUCGCUUCUCCCGUUAAAAAGAAAGGUGCAUUUCUUUCGCGCCUAGGGUGCUUGUAAAACGCGGGCCGCCUACCGGUCCCGAUCCGCCCUAUGCGCCGUCGGGGGUCGCUUAGCCGCUGACUUUUCCCACGCGUGGGACCGUUUGGUGGCAACUCUCUCUUCUAACGAGCGCGAUGUUCGCGCCGGACGAAGUGGGAAGGGGUGCCGCUGUUGCGCGGGGAACAAAAAACCCCACCCUCCCCCGAAGUUCCCGGAGCCCUUGAUCUCUGGACCUCGGAACACUUGCACCGGAGGUUAGUAGAGGCUGGGAGCCGGUGCCUUACUCUCUCGCUGCGUCCCCUCUCCUUCGGAUCCAGCGCCGGUUCCCCUCGCUCCCGGUUUCCUUUCAAAUCUUCGUCGAAUCUGACCCCUCGCUAUUAUAGAGAAAUAUGUAGAGUCUUACAUAUACAACCCAUAUGUGGGCAGUUUUCAGGAAAGAGAUAGGGUGGGUCAGAUCGGCGCAAAUCAUGUCACCCAAUUGGUUGCUUGGCACGCCCAGGACUCCUCUUAUUGGCCACGGGCCCUGAAGAUUGAUUUUCUUUUUUUGAAGAACGGUCUUGGAUAUCAGAGGGAGGAUUUUGCAGACGAGCUCGCCAAGUACCAGACGUUAACCCCCAACACGCCGGACGCACGAGGGAGGGAGUCAAUGAAGGAGAAACGGGCAGCUUCGCUGAUUCCCUUGGUGAUGAUGCCGUCAUCUGCCUGCUUAAGGACUGGCUGGCAUUUCAGAAAGUGCUGGUCAGGUAGGAGAAAUACUGCUAAGGCAAGGCAGUGCUAUCUAGAGUGAAAAUGUCCCAAAAGAAAGACAGCAACUGCAUAAGGCCCAUAUUUGGAAAUCCAAGUGUUCUUCCAGAGGCUGGCAGGCAGCACAGAUAUGCAAUUCACAGUGAGGUGCAAAGGAGAGAGCCUUGACUUUUAACCCAUAUCUCCUCACUCUCCUUCCCUCCAGCUGUUGUAGAGCCUGGAGCCCUUGGAGAAUUGCUAAGCCUGCCCAUCCAGAAAGUGCCAGGUUUGGAUGACUUUGCCCCAAGAUAAUGCUUGGCUAUUUGCAUUACAGUUCUGAUUAUUACAACUCAAGCAAAUUUCUGAUUUCACUCCAGGAUAUGCUUUGUGGACACCAGUGCCUUGUUUUGACAGCGUUGCUGCUCACUUUGAGUUAGGAAAGUUAACAGUAUUUAUGGGAAUACACUGUUGAGCCACAUUUUGGCUUUUGAAGACAGAAAAUAAUAUUUACUAAUGCCUGAAAUAACAUUUACAAAUUCAAUUGUUCUGUUGAUGAUGACAUCAACUUGAUCUUAUUUUAGUCCCCCCACUCCCCAGUUAAAUGCUUUUCAAGGGAAGCACUGAGACAUAAUCAACUUAUCCAGUGUCAGAAGACUUGAAACCUUACUGAGACUCAGUGGCCAAUGCCUGGAAGUUCAAAGACAUAAAGCUGGCAAGCACCCAGCACUUGUCCUCAGGAAAAUUUUCUUUAAGAGACACAAAUCUACACAGAAACAUCUUUUCUGCUGGUUUGUGUGUAAUGUCUGGGUAUAGCCUUGAAAGCCUGUGUGUGAAAGGAUUCAGUCUGCAGUCUGUGAUCAUGUCUGGCUGGUAUAGCAUCAAAUUGGGAAUCAAAUUGUUUGGAUCAUGACUGGUGGAUUCUUUUGUGCCUGGACUCUUGGGCAGUGUCGUUUGUGCCUGGUAAUCUACUACGCUCUGUUCUCCUGCAAUUGCUGAUCUCAGAUUUGUCCCCUGAUGUUGCAUUUACUUCUUUUCAUUUCAUUAUCACUGGGAAACAACUUAGGGACUGUUUUUGGGGGAAGGGUUAUCUCUCUUUGCUGAGCUGCUGGAACUCUACGACAUAACCUUCAGGGUCUCACAUAUCUACAGGCACAGUAUGCAACUGAAAACCAGGAACAUGCACGGUUUUCUACUGUAGCAGUAAAGAAGAGCAAUGGAUUUGUGACAUUAUUAUACUGCCAAUAAUAAAAUUCACAAUAAGCUUUGAUUAGAUGAGAACUACAGAGAAACCCCAUCUGUGAAUCAUUCACAACUAAGUAAGAAACAGCUCCUCAAUGCUGUUUUUUCAGUUCUUCCUAUUUUGUGAAUGGGCUUCAACUCCAAAAAUUCCCCAGCCAGUUGGCUGAGGAAUUCUGGGAGUUGAAGUCCAUGCAUCUUAAAGUUACCAUGGUUGAAAAACACUGGUUUAUAUUCAUGUGGGAGCUGUUUUGUGGGGUACCUAUGACAUUUUCUAAACUUUGGAAGUGUGUUCAGGAAGAUUUGAGGUCCCUAGUUUGUUCCUGCUGUUUGUGACAAUAUUAUACUUUAUGGUAAUUAUUAUAUAUUCUUACUCUUUUAAUGUUUGUUGAGGCACUACCAUCAUGUGGAAGAGUGAUGAACUGUUAUGAAAAGUAACCAGAUUAUUUUUCAAAUUCACAAAUAAAGGCAUAUUUAUCAAAUUCCUCUGAUUCCAAAUUGAAAAUGGUUUUGAAGGGGCCAAUGGGAUUUACUCUUUUCCUAAGGUUCAUAAAAAGAGGAACCUGUGGCCACGGUCUUUACUCACGUUUGGACAGCCAAAACAACUGACUGAUCCUUGGCCAGCUGUAUUGUGAUAUAAAGCUGAAAGUUUUGCAUGUCUAAAACAUUUUAAAAAUAAAAUUCUAUCACAAAUAUGGCAAAAAUGAUAUUAGCCUGUUACAGCCAAGACAGCAACAGUCUCUUGGCUUAUAAAAAAGAAAUCAGGUUCAUUAUAUGAGAAAUUUAGAACAUAGAACAUAGAAUAACAGAGUUAGAAGGGACCUCAGAGGUCUUCUACUCCAACCCUCUGCUCAAACAGGAGACCCUAUACCAUUUUGGACAAAUGUGUUUCCAAUCUCUUUUUGAAAAGCGAUGGGACAGCGAUGAAGCACCCACAACUUCUGGAAGGAAAGCCAUUCCACUAAUUAGUUGUGUUCAUUGUCAGGAAAUUUCUCCUUAAUUCUAGGUUGGAUCUCACUUUAUGUUAUGCUGUUAUGCUCCUGGGGGUGGAAAGCAGGUUAGUGAAGGGAUGUGGCUGCCUUGGGGUGGUUAUGAGGGACGUGUGUGUGUGUGUGUGUGUGUGUGUGUGUGUGUGUGUGUGUGUCCCUCCCCCCCUCUUUUGGUCUCCUGAGGCCUCCACGUGUCCCAUUUUUGGCCUCCAGCACCACUCUGUCACCCAAAAAUGGGCCUAUUUUUGGCUUCCUGAGGCCUCCGCGCGUCCUGUUUUUGGCCUCCAGAAGGCAAGAUGGGGGCCAGCGGGUAGGCAGGGUGAUGUGGGUGGGGCAGCCUGGUGGUCCUGUGUGGGCUAGAUUAAUGGCUUCAGCAGACUGUAUCCGACCCGUGGGCUGUAGCUUGAGUACCCCGAUGUAGAUUAUUUACAGUAAUUAUUAUUUUCUGC